rnacentral:rRNA from 1 species
ACCGCGAACGGCUCAUUACAACAGCUAUAAUUUACUUGAUCUUGACAAACUUACAUGGAUAACUGAGGUAAUUCUUGAGCUAAUACAUGCACCAAAGCUUUGACCGCAAGGAAAGAGCGCAUUUGUUAGAACAAAACCAAACGGCUUCGGCUGUUCCCAGUUGAAUCAGAAUAACUCAGCUGAUCGUACGGUCUUGUACCGACGACGUGUCUUUCAAGUAUCUGCUUUAUCAACUUUCGAUGGUAGGGUAUCUGCCUACCAUGGUGGUGACGGAUAACGGAGGAUCAGGGUUCGACUCCGGAGAAGGGGCCUGAGAAAUGGCCACUACGUCUAAGGAUGGCAGCAGGCGCGCAAAUUACCCACUCUCAGAAUUUGGAGGAGGUAGUGACGAGAAAUAACGAGGUUGAUCUCUUCAGAGGCCAACCAUCGGAAUGGGUACAAUUUAAACCCUUUAACGAGUAUCUAUGAGAGGGCAAGUCUGGUGCCAGCAGCCGCGGUAAUUCCAGCUCUCAAAAUGCAUAGAAUUAUUGCUGCGGUUAAAAAGCUCGUAGUUGGAUCUGCAGCCGGGGCUCUGGUCCAUCUUCGGAUGCGUACUGGAUGUCUCCGGCUUUCUGACAGUGUUCGGCUCUGUGCC